rnacentral:rRNA from 1 species
UAGGGAAUCUUCCGCAAUGGACGAAAGUCUGACGGAGCAACGCCGCGUGAGUGAAGAAGGAUUUCGGUUCGUAAAACUCUGUUGUUAGGGAAGAAAAAAUGUAUAGUAACUAUAUACAAAAGAGACGGUACCUAACCAGAAAGCCACGGCUAACUACGUGCCAGCAGCCGCGGUAAUACGUAGGUGGCAAGCGUUGUCCGGAAUUAUUGGGCGUAAAGCGCGCGCAGGUGGUUUAGAAAGUCUGAUGUGAAAGCCCACGGCUCAACCGUGGAGGGUCAUUGGAAACUAAUAAACUUGAGUGCAGGAGAGAAAAGUGGAAUUCCUAGUGGAGCGGUGAAAUGCGUAGAGAUUAGGAGGAACACCGGUGGCGAAAGCGGCUUUUUGGCCUGCAACUGACACUGAGGCGCGAAAGCGUGGGGAGCAAACAGG